CAGGUGAGAAAUCUGCAGUGAAGAAAGGUACAUCCCAAGGGGACACCGACAGCUGAGGGAGAGAAGAUCUGAGUCAGAGAGGAGUUCUGGAGAAACCAAGCGCAUCCCCCUCAACAUGAACUCCAGUCAAGAUUGGUCAGGUGCAGUGGCUUAUGCCUGUAAUCCCAGCUGAGGCAGGAGGAUCGCUUGAGCCCAGGAGUUUGAGACCAGCCUCGCCCACAUCUUCCAUCAGAGGAUCCCACGAAAACAGUGCCAAAGAGAAUUCAGAACUACGUCCACUGGUCCAGUAACCCAUGAUUUCCCCGGGGGUAGCACUGUGUGUGCCCAGAAGGGAGUCAGUUUCCCCAGGAAGUAGCGGGGAUGAUUCCCGAGCGAUGAGGAAGCUAGCAGGAUGGAAGAGGACUUGAGGACUUAUUGAUGAGAUGCGGACACACAGCGAGAGGCAUGGAGUUAAGCAGAAAUCGGAGAGCACUUGGGAACGACGUGGGGCUGUGAUAAGAUGGUGGUGCUGGGCAGUAGCAGAGGGAUCUGGGAAGAUUUAGGGAGGUGUCUUUGAACUUGGGCCUAGAAAGCUGAGCCAGGCGUAGGUCAGGAGGAAAGGCCGUGAAAAUGCCUGGCCUGGGUGCACAUGGGAAACCACAGGCAGUGGUUGGGGUGGUUGGUAUGGGCUGGAGGGUGAGGGUGUGUGCGUGGCAGAGUGGAGAGAAAUGAGGAGGGGGAAGUCACUGCGUAAUAAGGACAAUGAUAGGAAUGAAGUCUGGCUCAGCACCUGCUUGGGCUGGGCACUACAGGUAACUUAAAAAAAAAAGUUCUUUUUU
rnacentral:lncRNA from 1 species